AUUGGCUGGCUUACUUUCACAGUAGUUUUAUAUUCAGUCUAAAUUUUUUCCAAACUAUGAAGUUAUGCCUACAUUCCAUUACUUUGCCUAUUCAAGGAAGGGGAGGUGGAUAGCCUCAGUGUAUUCAAUCACUUUUUAAAAAUAUUUAUUGUUUCCUGCUUCAGAAUGUAAACCUUUUUAUCUGGCCCAGUGGACUUACUAUGUUAUUUAUGAGUCCACUUGGGUUCAAGAGGCAUAAUACUGAGUUCUGAUUAAAGUCAACAAUGCUCCCUAAUUUUUUUAAUUAUUUUUUUCUAUAUUUUACUCUUAAAAGAAAACGGAGACAGUGUGUGCUCUAGUGUUACAGAGAGAAGUCUUAGGUUCAGAAAAAAACUGCCUUUGAAGCUCAUUUUGAAAAUAUAUGGCUUGGAUAAAAUAACAGAAAAUGAACAGAAGGAGUUCCCACUGCGGUGCAGCAGGUUAAGGAUCCAGCAUUGCCUCUGCAGCAGUGAGUUAGAUCCUCGGACUGGUGCAGUGGGUUAAGGAUCCAGCAACUGUGGUGUAGAUCACAGCUGCCACUUGGAUUCGAUCCUUGGCCUGGGAACCUCCAUGAACCACAGGUGCAGCCAAAAAAAAGGAAAGGAAAUGAAAGGAAAAAUCAAAGUUUAAAUGUGAUUCACUGAACCUAGAAGGUGAUUGUGAUUUUUGAAAUGGGGUAAUCCAGUCUAUUAUUUGAAUAACAUGAGGUUUAGUAAAGUCACAGGAUUUGCUAAUUGAGCCAUACAAUUAUUUAACAGUGUUACUGGGACUGGAACCCACAUUUACAGUGGCUGAGUGUGGAUGGCAUAAGAGCUAGAAGGGCUUGUGAAGGAAGGAAGGGUGGGCAUUUCUGUGCUGAAUUUCAGAGUGACCCAUAAGUCCUUUCUCAAGCCAGGCCAGUGGCUAUGCCCUCUUGCAGUGGGAGGACAGCUGAGUUAAUACAACUAAAAUUGGUCUCUGCUGGCUACAUGCUUUUCAACAGCAAUUUUUUUUUUUUUUUAGGGCUGCACCUGCAGUAUAUGGAAGUUCCCAGGCUAGGGUUCAGUCAGAGCUGCAGCUGCUGGCCUACAUCAUAGUCACAGCAACAUCAGAUCUGAACUGCAUCUGUGACCUACACUGCAGGUCACGGUAACACUGGAUCCUUAACACACUGAUUGGGGCCAAGAAUUGAACCCACAUCCUCAUGGAUACUAGCCAAGUUUGUUAGCACUGAGCCACAAGGGGAACUCCUCAACAGCAAUUUUUGAAUAUUACUCCAUGGACCACCCUCUGAAUCACCUGGGGCAUUUCUCAAAGAUGGAGAUUCCAGGACCUCAUGCAGUCUUACUGAGUCAAUAUCUCUGGGAAAUGACCCAGAGAAUCUGCAUUUUAGACAAACUCAAACUCUUUUGUGAUUUGUAUAGACGUAGGUUUGAAAAAUCACAUGUGAAGAAGCUAAGUUAAAGGGGAAUGAUGUUCUCCUUACUGAAUGGGUCUGAAUAUAUUUUUCCAAUGAAUAUAUAUGCUUUUCAAUACAUAUAUACUAUAUAUUCUCUUUCUAUAUAUAUUCAAUAUGUAUUUUAUAUCUACCUAUCUAUAUAUAGAAACUGAAGAGACCAUGGCUACAUUAAAUUGAUAUUGGGGCAGGGCCUUUGGUAGUUAGGAAGCUUUAUUUUAAAACUUAAAAAAAAGAAAUAGAAUUAAUCUGUAAGACUAUGGAUAAUAAUAUCUGAUUAUUUUUCAAAUAGUGUUCAAAUGAAUAUAAUCCUUUGAUUUAAAUAUAGGAGUUGUCUUUUAUUAUGCAUGGAAUUUUUAUUUGGUUUUGAUAAUCCAAGGCCAUCUCAAGGAUGUAUUAAGCAUUCUGCAUCAUUUGAACAAAGUGAUCAUUCUUGAAGUUUUAUAUUUGAAAUAAAGUGAAAUGAUAGUGAUAAUGAUGAGUAGAUUGAUUUUUGAAAAUAAAUCUGUUACUAUGCAUUUUUUUGUAGUGUUUUCAAUAAUGCUAUAAAUGUUUUUAAAGUUUCAUGUAUUUAUACCCAAUUUUCUUCUGAGAUGUCGUGGUAGAGAAUAAUAAAAGUGCUGUAAUUUUAAUGUAAUGUAAUUAUUUUAACUAAAGAGAUAGUUUGGAUACUCUGGUUUAUUUAGUUUUGUGCUUCUUAGCAGUUAAGUCAAAAAAAGGAAUGCAAAAAAAAAAUGACAUUCUAGAAUACAAAACCAUGUUCUUUAGAUUUUUCUUCAAUUCUUUAAUUAUUUAGAGAGAUUUUAAUAGUGCUCUAAAAACAAGAGUUAUCUUCCAGUGAGCUUGAGAAAUGUGACUGUUAAAAAACUCCUUCUUGGAGGCUCACAGUUCACAUUAGCAAGUCAAAGUCUCCAAGACAUCCUACAGUUAAAAAGAAACCUGCUCAAUUUUUGAAUCUUAGUUCAAUUGUUAAACAAAUUUAGUUUCACAGGUAGAGACUUUACUUUUCACACAUAAUAACAUCCUCCACAAUAAUUUUCCUUUAAAACUAUUUUGGAAACUGUUCAGUUACAUAAUUCUCAUUCUGGAGAAAGGAAGCAUUCUGUUUCUUCAAGAGAUCCAUUUCUCCAAGACACUAAUUCACCACUGGGGAAAGAUUUUUUUUAUAAGGGCAUUAAACAACACAGCAGAUAGGAACUUCAGCAGAAAACACAGAAGAAUUCUUUGUAUAAUCAUGCCCUGUAUCUGCUCCCAAUGAAUGUCUCCACAUGAAUAUUAACAUAUAAUUCUGUACUGGUGAUUCCAUACAUAGGAGGGAGAUCUCACGUCCUUUAGAUGUGCACUUUCCCAAUCAUGAAACUUGACACAAGACUAGAGCUCAGCCCACCUAGGGGCAAGAUUUUCUGAUUUUCCUUAACUGUCUUUAAUAUCACUUGUGGUAGCCUGAUGUUUGAUAGGCUUGAAGAGGCAAAGAGAAGAUAUUCUGCAAGUGCUCUGUGUUUUGGCAGAAGGACAGCCAGCACACAAAGGCAAGAUUGGUGCUAAAUUAGGAAAGAAGAUAAAGUUUGCUUGAAUCUUGCCCAGAGCACGUGACACAGAGAGGAGCUGCAAAGUUUCGCUUAGGAGCACGUGGGAUCUGAUCUGGUGCCUAAGUUAGGGCUCAGUGAAGACCCCAAAGUUCCAAGCUACAGAACAAGAUUUUUUUCAACUGGUCUUUUUGGAGGUCAAGAGUAACUAGCAAUUUAUAAUCAACCAUAGCAAUUUCAGUACUACUCCUGUGACACUAUGCUGAAUUUCAGCAAGUUUUCUUUGCAGUAUACCUACCAGCAUGAGCUAGCCAAAACAUACAACUCCAGACAACUAAAAAUAAUCGAUUGCUAUUUGAGUCAUUCAGACACUUAUAAUCUUAUAAAAUUACAAUUAUAAACAGAAUAGGAGAUAAAGAAUAAGAGAAAGAAAAUAAUCCAAAAUCGGAGUAGAACUUGAUUUUGAAUGCAACAAAUAAAAAGAUACCAUAACCUACUUUGUCAGAAUCAUAACAAAAUAGAAAAAGUCGUAUUAUAUUAAUGCAGUUUGAAAAGAGUCUGGAAUCUAAGUCUUGACCAUUACCUCAUUAUGUUAUUACAAGUCAAUAAUGAAUAUAAAUGCAAUUAGUAGAAACAGAAGUAAGGAGAGAAACAGAAUAAUUAAAAUGAAGGUCAUUUCAUUUACAUUAUUAAUAAGUAUAGGCAAUUAGUAUAAUGUUCUUUCCUUCUCAGUGCCAUUAAGUCUCUCCAAUUUAAUAAAAUUUUAUGAAAAAUACACAAAUGCUGUGCAUUUAAAAAUAUUUCUAAAUAAGGAACUUUACUGUGUCUACUCAAGAUUUUUAAUUAUAGAGCACAAAUUCUAUUUUACAUUUAAGUUGUUGGCAUUUUCAGCUUUAUGGAAAACCCUUCCAGAAAACACUUUUCAGAUUCAGAAUUUAGAGUGAACAGAUGCUUCACUUCCUUUCUUAGUUUGUUGAGAAUUAACUCUCCCAGUAUAAUAAACUACCAUAAAAUCUAAGCUUAUAAAAUGAAACAAGAUUUUGUCUUUAUAGUCAGGUCUCACCAACCAACCAAGAAUUGGGAUUCAUGAAUAUUUAAGUAAAGCCUCUGUGUCUGCUUGAAUAUCUGGUACACAUCCACCUAGUGAGGUCACAACCUCCACUUUGCACAGAGUGUUUCAUUUGUCUGGGAUUGGAUCUUUUUUUUAUUAACACUGCUCUUUAUGUGAUCAUCUGGUAGGUGACCUAGCUCAGUUUACAACGAAUACAUUCAUUUAUUUCACCCUUAAUGUCACAGUCUUAAGGUCACAGCCUCGGUGCCAAAAGGAGCCACCCAGUAACUUUUGAACAGACUUGGUCAGUUGGUGAAUGAUGCUGUUGUGUGCAUGCCUCAGGUUAGAGAGAAGGAACAUCACUAGUUGCCCUGUUAAUUAGAAAUAAUGAGGGAAAGGAAAUUAAAUCUUGCUGCAUCCUUGCCCCGAUUCAAAGGGACAUUGAUCAAUUGAGCUUCUCAAAGUUCACCAUCGAAUUACCUCAAGUCCUUAAUGAUGCUUACUCAAGUUCCUGCUCUCAGAGAUUCUUCUCCAUGUGCAAUUUCGGCUAUGUUGAAGGGUGAACGAUGAGUCAAAAAGAUGUGCUGAGUUAAGGCAGGUAGGAGGUUAGAUGAGGUGCUUUUAUUAGUCUGCAAAGAUACAGAUUUACCCUGAAAAUAAUUUUCAAAGGAAAAGAAAAGCUUUUUUAAACUAAGAAAUACAGUGUUCAUAUUUUACUUAAAUAUACUUUGGAUGUUGCUUGAUUAUCUCAGGAAGCUGCUUUUGAUUUCCAUUAGGCAAAUUGAAACAUAAAAGGUAUAAACUUUUAAAAACUAUUUAGAAUAUUAUUGAAUUUUGUUUGACACCAGAGAUGACAGCAAAUGUGAUUAAUUGCCACUCAUAAUUGCAGUUUCAUUCCAGUGGUUAUUGCUUGUCAGUAUCAAUUAAUAGCUCAACCAAAACCUCAUUCAUUCCAGAAUAUUAAAGAUGAUGAUGGCUUGUGGGAAUUAUGCUAAACUAGCACUUUCAAUUAGAUUUUGAAUUUUAUAGGGUACUGAAUAAUAGGUUAUGAGUUUAUAAUAGUAAGUACCAGUGAGUUAUUGUUGAAUUGUAAUUACUAUAAUUAUGUAUGUUUAUCUGGAGAAUUGUAAUUAGCAUUGUCUUCAUGUUUAAAAAUAGGCAGUUGUACUUAAUUUUUCACUUAAUGUAUAGUUUCUGAAGUUCAUUGUAUAAGGAAAUAGGAUUCAAAAAUAAUCAGUUCCAAUAAUCUGGAAGAAGUAUUGUUGAGCAUGACUAUUGGCUUCUCAGGGAGGGAAAAAAAAUUGAAGGUAAACAACCUGACAAGGUGCAGGUCAAGAGAUGAAGCUUCUUUGUAUUCUAUACGCAGCCUGAGCUCUGUGUUAAGAGUUUUUAUUUUUACUGUAUAAAUCAUUGGACAUACAACUUAUAAAAAUAAAGAUAUGUCUCACCACCCACUGAGUAUAUCGGUGGCUUGAUCUUGGACUUCUGAGCCUGUAGAACUGUGAGAAAUAA
rnacentral:lncRNA from 1 species